rnacentral:rRNA from 1 species
UACAGAGGGUGCGAGCGUUAAUCGGAAUUACUGGGCGUAAAGCGUGCGUAGACGGUUAUUUAAGUCGGGUGUGAAAGCCCCGGGCUCAACCUGGGAAUUGCAUUCGAGACUGAAUAGCUAGGGUACGGUAGAGGGAAGCGGAAUUUCCGGUGUAGCGGUGAAAUGCGUAGAUAUCAGGAGGAAUACCGGUGGCGAAAGCGACUCCCUGGACGGCAACUGACGCUGAGGCACGAAAGCGUGGGGAGCAAACAGG